GGUGAUUAAGCUUGAGUAAGACAGUUGCAUUCAUCAGAGCAGAGCCGUGGCUGUUGAAAUGGGGAGAGUGAAUGCUGCGUGAAAAAUACCUGGUGACCUGUUCAGAUCCUACUAUGGCAACAGCCAAGAGCCUUGGAUUCCAUGCCAGCUGUACCAUGGCAUGUGCAGAAACACCUGCAGAAAAAAUGAAAUUCAAUACUUAACCUGCCCAAGUGAUCAAAAGUGCUGCCUGAAACUGUCUAUGAAGGUAGCCCGUUCUAACAAUGUGAAGGAUUAUGACUCCGACUCCAACCUGUCAGUUACCAACCUUUCAAGCUACUCUAAAAUUUGAACAUCACCAACCAUACCACCACUCCCCGGAGUAAUUCUUCCCUCAUUCUGGAACACUCUCUCCAUAAAAACGCAUUCCUUCUCA